AAGAGUUUGAUCAUGGCUCAGAUUGAACGCUGGCGGCAGGCCUAACACAUGCAAGUCGAACGGUAACAGGAAGCAGCUUGCUGCUUUGCUGACGAGUGGCGGACGGGUGAGUAAUGUCUGGGAAACUGCCUGAUGGAGGGGGAUAACUACUGGAAACGGUAGCUAAUACCGCAUAACGUCGCAAGACCAAAGAGGGGGACCUUCGGGCCUCUUGCCAUCGGAUGUGCCCAGAUGGGAUUAGCUAGUAGGUGGGGUAACGGCUCACCUAGGCGACGAUCCCUAGCUGGUCUGAGAGGAUGACCAGCCACACUGGAACUGAGACACGGUCCAGACUCCUACGGGAGGCAGCAGUGGGGAAUAUUGCACAAUGGGCGCAAGCCUGAUGCAGCCAUGCCGCGUGUAUGAAGAAGGCCUUCGGGUUGUAAAGUACUUUCAGCGGGGAGGAAGGGAGUAAAGUUAAUACCUUUGCUCAUUGACGUUACCCGCAGAAGAAGCACCGGCUAACUCCGUGCCAGCAGCCGCGGUAAUACGGAGGGUGCAAGCGUUAAUCGGAAUUACUGGGCGUAAAGCGCACGCAGGCGGUUUGUUAAGUCAGAUGUGAAAUCCCCGGGCUCAACCUGGGAACUGCAUCUGAUACUGGCAAGCUUGAGUCUCGUAGAGGGGGGUAGAAUUCCAGGUGUAGCGGUGAAAUGCGUAGAGAUCUGGAGGAAUACCGGUGGCGAAGGCGGCCCCCUGGACGAAGACUGACGCUCAGGUGCGAAAGCGUGGGGAGCAAACAGGAUUAGAUACCCUGGUAGUCCACGCCGUAAACGAUGUCGACUUGGAGGUUGUGCCCUUGAGGCGUGGCUUCCGGAGCUAACGCGUUAAGUCGACCGCCUGGGGAGUACGGCCGCAAGGUUAAAACUCAAAUGAAUUGACGGGGGCCCGCACAAGCGGUGGAGCAUGUGGUUUAAUUCGAUGCAACGCGAAGAACCUUACCUGGUCUUGACAUCCACGGAAGUUUUCAGAGAUGAGAAUGUGCCUUCGGGAACCGUGAGACAGGUGCUGCAUGGCUGUCGUCAGCUCGUGUUGUGAAAUGUUGGGUUAAGUCCCGCAACGAGCGCAACCCUUAUCCUUUGUUGCCAGCGGUCCGGCCGGGAACUCAAAGGAGACUGCCAGUGAUAAACUGGAGGAAGGUGGGGAUGACGUCAAGUCAUCAUGGCCCUUACGACCAGGGCUACACACGUGCUACAAUGGCGCAUACAAAGAGAAGCGACCUCGCGAGAGCAAGCGGACCUCAUAAAGUGCGUCGUAGUCCGGAUUGGAGUCUGCAAUUCGACUCCAUGAAGUCGGAAUCGCUAGUAAUCGUGGAUCAGAAUGCCACGGUGAAUACGUUCCCGGGCCUUGUACACACCGCCCGUCACACCAUGGGAGUGGGUUGCAAAAGAAGUAGGUAGCUUAACCUUCGGGAGGGCGCUUACCACUUUGUGAUUCAUGACUGGGGUGAAGUCGUAACAAGGUAACCGUAGGGGAACCUGCGGUUGGAUCACC
rnacentral:rRNA from 1 species